rnacentral:rRNA from 1 species
UACAGAGGGUGCAAGCGUUGUUCGGAAUUAUUGGGCGUAAAGCGCGUGUAGGCGGCUUUGCAAGUCGGGUGUGAAAGCCCUCGGCUCAACCGAGGAAGUGCGCCCGAAACUGCAGAGCUUGAGUACCGGAGAGGAUGGCGGAAUUCCCCAAGUAGAGGUGAAAUUCGUUGAUAUGGGGAGGAACACCGGUGGCGAAGGCGG